ensembl:snRNA U2 U2 spliceosomal RNA
GUGGCUUCUUGGCCUUUUGGCUAAGAUCAAGUGUAGUUUCUGUUCUUAUCAGUUAUCUGAUAGUCCUCUAUACGAGGAUCAUAUAUUAAAUUGAUUUUUGAAACAGGGAGAUGGAAUAGGGGCUUGCUCUGUCCAGUCCAGGCAUCAACCUGGUACUGCAGUACCUCUGGGAAUGGUGCGCCCACU